GCUCAGAGUGAAUGCUAGUGAUAGGCCUUAACACAUGCAAGUCUAAUGGUUCUUCUAAAUGAAGAAAGCAUGGCGCAGAGGUGAGUAAAUUGUAGGAUAAUUAUCUGUCAAACAGGUUAAUUUGUGAUACCUGAAUAAAGAAAAAAAACUGGAGUGAAAUCCUUUGAGAAAAAGGAAGACUUAAGUGUCUUUUUCAUAUAAAGAUUGUUAUCGAUGAUGGAUGUGCCUAUGUAAGAUUGAAGGUAGUUGGUGGAGUAAUGGUUUACCAAGCCGUAUCUUUAGUUGAUCUGGGAGGAUGGUGAGCCACAUUGGGAUAGAAACAGGGGCCCAACUUUCUACUAAGUAGCAGCAGUGGGGAAUCUUGGACACUAAGCUAACGCUUGAUCCAGCAAUGUCACGUGAAGGAUGAAGGUUAAUUAUCGUAAACUUUUGCUCAUUAUUAGAAUAACGAUCUUUUAAUGUAGAAGCUCCGACUAACUUCGUGCCAGCAGUCGCGGU
rnacentral:rRNA from 1 species